rnacentral:rRNA from 1 species
CCUACGGGCGGCAGCAGUGAGGAAUAUUGGUCAAUGGGCGCGAGCCUGAACCAGCCAAGUAGCGUGAAGGAUGACUGCCCUAUGGGUUGUAAACUUCUUUUAUAAGGGAAUAAAGUGAGGCACGUGUUCCUUUUUGCAUGUACUUUAUGAAUAAGCAUCGGCUAACUCCGUGCCAGCAGCCGCGGUAAUACGGAGGAUCCGAGCGUUAUCCGGAUUUAUUGGGUGUAAAGGGUGCGUAGGUGGGUUAUUAAGUCAGUGGUGAAAGUUUGUGGCUCAACCGUAAAAUUGCAAUUGAUACUGGCAGACUUGAGUACAGUUGAGGUAGGCGGAAUGCGUGGUGUAGCGGUGAAAUGCUUAGAUAUCACGAAGAACCCCGAUUGCGAAGGCAGCUUACUAAACUGUAACUGACACUGAUGCGCGAAAGUGUGGGGAGCAAACAGGAUUAGAUACCCCUGUAGUC